rnacentral:tRNA from 1 species
GCCGAAAUAGCUCAGAUGGUAGAGCGGCUGAUUCGUAAUCAGUAGGUCGGAGGUUCGAUUCCUCUUUUCGGCACCA